rnacentral:rRNA from 1 species
AUACGGAGGAUCCGAGCGUUAUCCGGAUUUAUUGGGUUUAAAGGGUGCGCAGGCGGGGGAUUAAGUCGGCGGUGAAAUUUUUCAGCUUCACCGUUAAAGGGCCUUUGAAACUAGGUUUCUUGAGUGUAGAAGAAGGAGGGUGAAUUUUGGGUGUAGAGGUGAAAUGCAUAGAUAUCACGAGGAACUCCGAUUGCGCAGGCAGCUUACUAAACUACUACUGACGCUCAGGCACGAAGGCGUGGGGAUCAAACAGGAUUAGAUACCCUGGUAGUCCACGCAGUAAACGAUGAUUACUAGCUGUUUGCGAUACAAUGUAAGCGGCUGAGCGAAAGCGUUAAGUAAUCCACCUGGGGAGUACGUUCGCAAGAAUGAAACUCAAAGGAAUCGACGGGG